UACAGAGGUCUCAAGCGUUGUUCGGAUUCAUUGGGCGUAAAGGGUGCGCAGGUGGGUUGGCAAGUUCGAUGUGAAAGCCCCGGGCUUAACCCGGGAAUGGCAUUGGAAACUGCUGAUCUGGAGGAUCGGAGGGGGGACUGGAAUUCUUGGUGUAGCAGUGAAAUGCGUAGAUAUCAAGAGGAACACCAGUGGCGAAGGCGAGUCCCUGGACGAUACCUGACACUGAGGCACGAAAGCCAAGGGAGCAAACAGG
rnacentral:rRNA from 1 species